UAACCCUGCGAGAGGGAGUGAUGUAUCGUUAGUUUUGCACACCUGUCACUGCGGCCAUGUGACUAGCGGAUUUUGAUAGCUGGGCUCAGAGGAAGUUUACGGAAAUACUAGCCGUGUCCGGUCCUGCGUCUGGUGACCGGGAGAGGCAGGGGCAGCUGGGCAGGGGAAUACAAUAUGCUUUAACUUAAGCCUAGAUUCUAUAAGGCAUACCUUGCAGCCUUACAAACUGACCAUCCCUCCAUACCGACAGAUAGAUAUACAAGGUUGUAUUGUGGUGUUUUUCCCUACUGUGGGUUACUGCGAGUCGGAACGUGGCUUAAGGAUAAAAGACUUAAUUGUGGCCGGUGAACUUCAACCAGAAAAAGGAUGAACUGAAUCACGUGCGGAGGUCAGACAAAAUCCAUUAAGAGAUCGUUCUCGAGCCAAAAGGAUGUCGUCUGCGUUGCCUCAGACGAUUGUUGGCAGAGGUCAAACAGCGAGUCUCCCGCCAUACCAGCACAGUAAGAUAAGCUUCAAACCGUCCCCUCUGUCGCCAGCAUUGGUGAAACAACCACGAAAGGUCGGUGAAGGAUUUUCUCCCUUAUUUGACGACGAUGACGGGCACAUAGCACCAUCUGAGUCUUCCGAGGAAGAGGAAAAACAAGAUCUUCCACAAACUUAUUUAGGUUUAGCCGUCGUUGUAUGCAUAUGUUUGAACUUUCCACUGGGACUCGCUGCUGUUGUCUCCUCCAUGUUUUCGGCGCUCGAGUACAAAAAUGGCGAAGAUGAGAAAGGGAAAAGGAGGGCCAAUAUAUCACUUGUUCUCAGUAUGGUGGGAAUGGUGAUGACGAUGGUGAUUACGAUAUUGUUUUUGUACAUGUGGACUUUGAGAAGCAAAGAUCAUGGACACGGCUAGCCCGUACAUGUACAUGUACUCCUAAACCUGCUUCACCUUAGAAAUGCACAUCGUUGUGUUUUGAAAAUUAUAUUCUGUAAAGUGGCAGUGGAGAUAUCUGUGAAGCAAACAUUUCUGAAACCAUUCACAGAAUUAUUUCUGGUAUUACAAAUUGACACGAAGUCAAUCUAGGGAGGAUCAAUUGCCUCUGCGUUUGGAGAUGCAAAAUAUCAAGAAUGUUUAUUGCUUAAGCUGUGGGUGAUGAAGCCCAGCAUCGAGCACUAAACACGUACAUCGUCUUCAUUUCGCGAUGCGCUAUCGGGAAUAACAAACACCUCUGCUGAUUAAAGACAUGAAGAGAAUAAACCAAGUCUCUGUUAAUCAAUUAGCUCAAUAUUUUGAUAGAAAAUCAAAUUUUCCUAAAGUUAGGUUUAUUAUUUAGAUUCACCUCAGACUACGGAACUUGUAAUGUACAUUUCCUAAAUAAACGAGGAUAUUAAUUUCUGCACGUGGCACACGUAAUUGAAUAAAUAAAUUGACCCUUCUCUCUUUGAGAUAUUAAAACUCCUCAAUAACAUCAAGGUGUAUGAGAUACCUCCUUGAUAGCAUUGAUUCAUUUCUCCUUUGUAAGACGGUGAUGGAAACUACAUGUAUUUUCAUCACCACGGAUCAUUUUGAUUAAAAACCCAUGUCUCCGAAUGAUGUUUAGGUAUAUAUGUUUAGGUAUAUAUGUUCAUGUAUAUAAGUAUUUUAGCUUAUAGGAUUUAGGUGCAAAUAAAUGGCUAAAACGCACGU
rnacentral:lncRNA from 1 species